AACGAACGCUGGCGGCAUGCCUAACACAUGCAAGUCGAACGAGACCUUCGGGUCUAGUGGCGCACGGGUGCGUAACGCGUGGGAACCUGCCCUUAGGUUCGGAAUAACUCCCCGAAAGGGGUGCUAAUACCGGCUAAUAUCUUCGGACCAAAGAUUUAUCGCCUUUGGAUGGGCCUGCGUUGGCUUAGCUAGUUGGUAGGGUAAAAGCCUACCAAUGCGACGAUACAUAGCUGGUCUGAGAGGAUAAGCAGCGACACUGGGACUGAGACACGGCCCAGACUCCUGCGGGAGGCAGCAGUGGGGAAUAUUGGACAAUGGGCGAAAGCCUGAUGCAGCAAUGCCGCGUGAGUGAUGAAGGCCUUAGGGUUGUAAAGCUCUUUUAUACGGGAUGAUAAUGACAGUACCGGGAGAAUAAGCUCCGGCUAACUCCGUG
rnacentral:rRNA from 1 species